UCUGGGGCUGCUCGGGGGGCAGGGGGUGGGGGGUGGUCCUGCUGCCCCCCCACCUCCAUGCAGGGCAUGGGGACCCUCCGCCUGGGCAGCCGCGCGGUGAUGUACACGGCCGAGACCCUGCCCAAGGGCAAGAACCGGGUGAUGGGGACCAUCCAGAUCAUGACCGGCUUCAUGCACAUCGGGUUCGGGAUCGUCCUGACGACGCUCACCAAUGUCUACACCUCUGUCUUCAUCAUUGGCGAGAUCCCUUUCCUGGGCGGCGUGUCCUUCAUCAUCUCCGGCUGCCUCUCCAUCGGGGCGGAGAAGAGCCCUACGGAGUGUGCGGUGAAGGGCAGCCAAACCAUGAAUGUCAUCAGCGCCAUCUUUGCUCUGCUGGGCAUCGUUGCCUUCAUCGUAGACCUCAACCUGAAUGGGCUGUACCGCUCCAACUUCAACCACGACAGCUAUCUCGUCCUGCUCGCAGGGAACGGGAUUUCCAUCGUGCUGCUUAUCUUCACCAUCCUGGAGUUCUGCAUCGCCGUGGCCACUGCUAAUUUCUGGUGCCGGGCCACCCGCCUCAGCUCCAACGAGUCCAUGCUGAUUGUCCCCAGCACCACGCGGGUGGACUUGACGGUGCCACCGGCUGAGCUGCCCCAGCCACCCAGCUACGCCGAGGUGAUCUACACCCCCAAAGAGCAGCCCAGCUAGGAGCAUCCGACCCCUGCCUGCAUGCCAGACCUUCUCCCACCACUGCUGGUGCCUCCCCAACCCUGGGAAAGCAUGCCACCCCAAUCCCUGGGGAGCACCUUCACCUCGCUGUACCAGCCGCUGCUCCAAGCAUGGGUGUGGGCGCAGGAGAGCUGGUGGCCCCUGAAUCCUAGGAAGAUGCUGGAACCAAGGACAUCGGUGUAGGGUCCUGUCUCCACACUCUGGAAUCCGUCCCCAGCCAGGUCCCUGCCACCGCGCUGCAGGUUGGGAUGUGCUGGUACCCUCUCCUGAAAGCCAGCCAGCACACCCAAAUUGUCCUUUCCUUACCUGUCUCCUGCCCUAGAUCUCAAAGAGGGGCUCGGCACUUGCUGGCUGCUUUGGAGAAGGGGCUUCUUCUGGGGGUGGAGGGGAGCAUCUUGGGGCUUUGUGAGGUGUUCCUGUCUGUAAAUACCCAGUUGGUUGCUGGGGUUUGUUGUUAUUUGGGUUCAGGACCUCCGGAAGGUCUGGUGGCCAUGUAGCAGGUAGCUUAUAGAGACCACGACGGGUUGCCAGACCAUCUACCUCUGCUCGUACCCUGUUGGCUUGAUUUUAUCUUU